CUUAACCGCAUUUCGAAGUGUGGCAACCCUUAACCACUAAGUGUGACAACUCUUAACCGCAUUUCGAAGUGCGACACCCCUUAACCGCAUUUCGAAAUGCAGUUAAGGAGUGCAUGCGGUAUUUUUCAUCAUAACCAUGGACGCCGACAGCAAAACCAAACAAGGUAGCAGUUGUACUUUCAAAACUUGAUCGUGGAGGGUGGAGAGCAAGAACGGUAAAGGUAGAAUGAAGAAAAGGGGUGUAGGGUUUUUUAACUGUGAGUUGCGGCAGAAUCAUUUAUAAAGGUUACGGGUACAGUGGGAAUUAAAGUAAAAUUGGAAGGUGUAGGACGAGAUCGUGGAGGUGCAGGGAGGAACACUCCCACAACUUUUAGGAUGAGAAUCAAAUCAUAAACAUAGUGAAAAGAGAAAAAAUUUUAAAAAAAGGGACGUGAUAAAUAUAGUGAAAAGACUUAAAAAGAAAACAGAAAAUAUUGUUGUGUGAAUUGUGAUUGAAAUUGUCGCACAAAUAUUACAACUCUUUUCAUUGAACAAUCAAAAUGAUGUGAUAUAAGGAAGGAAAGAAAUACAAAUUGAAUAAUGCAAUUUUUUCUGAUAUGAUUUCUAUCUGAAUCCCAUCCUCAAUGUGUUCCCAGGAAGAGCAGAAACCCUAGUUUUAACAGAAUUGUUGAAGAGAUGGGUGAUAUCAGUAAGAGGCAACCUUUUAGGGUUUGCGUUGUUCUUGUUUUUGACCUUGUUGGUGUUGCAUGCUGGAGGAACAUUCUCUUUGUUAUUCUGCUUCAAUAUGAUAUCAAUCUUGUCUUCUUCAUCAAUCUCCAUUGCCAACAAAUUUUCAGAGUGAAAAAAAUGUGGUUGGAGUUGCAACUUUUAAGAGUUGUAAUGUUGAUGGCGGGUGAAACUUUUUCGAUAAUUCAAAUUUUAAAUUAAGCUUUUGUGAAGUGCCAAAAUCCCAAAACUAAAAUGAUAUUUUGAGUGAUUUACUUGUUAUUAGAAGAAAUAUUCAUUUUUUUACUUUUUAUUCGAUUGAUGACAUGGUUUUUUUUUUCUUUUUAAGAAAUUUGGCUUUUCAAUGAAUAUAUAUAUA
rnacentral:lncRNA from 1 species